GUUCAGAAAGUUGUCUACGGACGUCAAUUUUUGAUCAAAAAUGACAAAAGGAUUGCAAGGAGAAGAAAAGCGUAAACGUGGCGACAAGAAAUGGAAGAAUUUCAAAAACUUCGUGGAGAUGUUGUUUUGUUUAACGUGCAUUUUUCCGAAAAAAUCCAAAACCAAAAGAAGAGAAGAACCAAGAGAGGAUUCAGUAG